rnacentral:rRNA from 1 species
GGACGAACGCUGGCGGCGUGCCUAAUACAUGCAAGUCGAGCGGACAGAUGGGAGCUUGCUCCCUGAUGUUAGCGGCGGACGGGUGAGUAACACGUGGGUAACCUGCCUGUAAGACUGGGAUAACUCCGGGAAACCGGGGCUAAUACCGGAUGGUUGUUUGAACCGCAUGGUUCAAACAUAAAAGGUGGCUUCGGCUACCACUUACAGAUGGACCCGCGGCGCAUUAGCUAGUUGGUGAGGUAAUGGCUCACCAAGGCAACGAUGCGUAGCCGACCUGAGAGGGUGAUCGGCCACACUGGGACUGAGACACGGCCCAGACUCCUACGGGAGGCAGCAGUAGGGAAUCUUCCGCAAUGGACGAAAGUCUGACGGAGCAACGCCGCGUGAGUGAUGAAGGUUUUCGGAUCGUAAAGCUCUGUUGUUAGGGAAGAACAAGUACCGUUCGAAUAGGGCGGCACCUUGACGGUACCUAACCAGAAAGCCACGGCUAACUACGUGCCAGCAGCCGCGGUAAUACGUAGGUGGCAAGCGUUGUCCGGGAAUUAUUGGGCGUAAAGGGCUCGCAGGCGGUUUCUUAAGUCUGAUGUGAAAGCCCCCGGCUCAACCGGGGAGGGUCAUUGGAAACUGGGGAACUUGAGUGCAGAAGAGGAGAGUGGAAUUCCACGUGUAGCGGUGAAAUGCGUAGAGAUGUGGAGGAACACCAGUGGCGAAGGCGACUCUCUGGUCUGUAACUGACGCUGAGGAGCGAAAGCGUGGGGAGCGAACAGGAUUAGAUACCCUGGUAGUCCACGCCGUAAACGAUGAGUGCUAAGUGUUAGGGGGUUUCCGCCCCUUAGUGCUGCAGCUAACGCAUUAAGCACUCCGCCUGGGGAGUACGGUCGCAAGACUGAAACUCAAAGGAAUUGACGGGGGCCCGCACAAGCGGUGGAGCAUGUGGUUUAAUUCGAAGCAACGCGAAGAACCUUACCAGGUCUUGACAUCCUCUGACAAUCCUAGAGAUAGGACGUCCCCUUCGGGGGCAGAGUGACAGGUGGUGCAUGGUUGUCGUCAGCUCGUGUCGUGAGAUGUUGGGUUAAGUCCCGCAACGAGCGCAACCCUUGAUCUUAGUUGCCAGCAUUCAGUUGGGCACUCUAAGGUGACUGCCGGUGACAAACCGGAGGAAGGUGGGGAUGACGUCAAAUCAUCAUGCCCCUUAUGACCUGGGCUACACACGUGCUACAAUGGACAGAACAAAGGGCAGCGAAACCGCGAGGUUAAGCCAAUCCCACAAAUCUGUUCUCAGUUCGGAUCGCAGUCUGCAACUCGACUGCGUGAAGCUGGAAUCGCCAGUAAUCGCAGAUCAGCUAUGCUGCGGUGAAUACGUUCCCGGGCCUUG